rnacentral:piRNA from 1 species
UUCACGGCCUAAAUGGUGCUGCCGAAAAAC